rnacentral:rRNA from 1 species
AUUGAACGCUGGCGGCGGGCCAAACACAUGUAAGUCGAGCGGAUGACGGGAGCUUGCUCCUUGAUUCAGCGGCGGACGGGUGAGUAAUGCCUAGGAAUCUGCCUGGUAGUGGGGGACAACGUGUCGAAAGGAACGCUAAUACCGCAUACGUCCUACGGGAGAAAGCAGGGGACCUUCUGGCCUUGCGCUAUCAGAUGAGCCUAGGUCGGAUUAGAUAUUUGGUGGGGUAAUGGCUCACCAAGGCGACGAUCCGUAACUGGUCUGAGAGGAUGAUCAGUCACACUGGAACUGAGACACGGUCCAGACUCCUACGGGAGGCAGCAGUGGGGAAUAUUGGACAAUGGACGAAAGCCUGAUCCAGCCAUGCCGCGUGUGUGAAGAAAGUCUUCGGAUUGUAAAGCACUUUAAGUUGGGAGGAAGGGCAGUAAGUUAAUCCCUUGCUGUUUUGACGUUACCGACAGAAUAAGCACCGGCUAACUCUGUGCCAGCCGCCGCAGUAAGAC